GACGAACGCUGGCGGCGUGCCUAACACAUGCAAGUCGAACGGAGAUUUUAGCAAUAAAAUCUUAGUGGCGAACGGGUGAGUAACGCGUAGACAACCUGCCUUCUAGAUGGGGACAACACUGCGAAAGUGGUGCUAAUACCGAAUGUUGUAAUUGGAAUGCAUGUUCUGAUUACUAAAGGUGGCCUCUAUUUAUAAGCUAUCGCUAGAAGAUGGGUCUGCGUCUGAUUAGCUAGUUGGUGAGGUAAUGGCUCACCAAGGCGACGAUCAGUAGCCGGUCUGAGAGGAUGAACGGCCACACUGGGACUGAGACACGGCCCAGACUCCUACGGGAGGCAGCAGUGGGGAAUCUUCCGCAAUGGACGAAAGUCUGACGGAGCAACGCCGCGUGAGUGAAGAAGGUUUUCGGAUCGUAAAACUCUGUUUUCAGGGACGAAUGUGCUGAUUGUAAAUAAUGGUUGGUAAUGACGGUACCUGACAAGAAAGCCACGGCUAACUACGUGCCAGCAGCCGCGGUAAGAC
rnacentral:rRNA from 1 species